ACGUACGCCCGCAGCACCGCGUCUUCCUCAGGCCGCCACCUCUGUCGCUCCUUCAUCUGCGCAGGCCAUCGCCCAUCCCGCACCUCCACACACUCUCAUAAUGCCACCUGCUUCCAUUGCAGCCAUGGAUUCCAUACCAUGCCAUGCAGAGAGAAAAAAAGACCAGAUCUUUCUUUAGAUCAUCGCAACAUCAAUCAGUUUGAACAUUGAAAAAGAAAGAUCAAGCAAAAAGAGGCACUGGCAACUAACUAACUAUGCUAAUCUGACAUGGAUCACACAGAUGUUUCAGUCAGUGUCUUGCUACAUGCAGUGAUGCAGAACAGUGAUGGCCAUAGCAGAGAUGGGGAAGAAAGAAGAGCAACCAGGUAGAUGCCUGUUUUCAGUGGUGGUUAGCUGCUCUAAUUCAUUGCAAUGCAGCAUUCAUAACUGCCGGUUUCAGGUUGGGGGUGGCAAGAGCACUAAAGCAGGGAGAGGAGUAAUAGCUACUGUGACCUGCAAAGCUCGCUAGUCGCCACUCCUGCAGCUGCCUACAGAGACAGCAGCCAAUGCAUACUCCAGAAACAUUACUGCGGCUCUAACAAUUCUCCCACACGGUAGACAGGAUCAUCUGCAACUUCUCCAGGCAACAUUUACACUGCUAGUAGCAUGACCAAGAACAGAUUCUCCCUUUUCCACAUUUCUUUCUUGACCAAGACUAGAACUUGCAGCCUUGCAGGCAACCUAUGACAAAUGGUAGAAACUGUUCAAGAUUAACCCGUUGUAACUUUUACUAUACCAAGGUCCAAGGUAGUAAAACCUACGGGCCAUCAACCUUGACCAAGUAAUAAGGUUAACCAAACUUCAGAGCUACAGCUACCGAAGUGAAGCUCAAGCAAUCAGGCAUCCAAGGCUAAGACGCCGCUACCAAUCAGCGCGCACACAUGGAGACAAAGGUGUGGGCACGGCCACGGCCGCUACGAGCAAGCACGCGCUGUUUUCUCGCGCGCUUGUCUGGUUUCUGGAGCGGGGUCGCCAUCCGCCAUUAACGUGGCGCCUCAUCGAGGACGGAGAGCUCAAACCCGCCCGGAUUAAAUGCCAAACCUAAUACUCGUGCCUCAGGGAAAGCAAAAAGCCAACGCGGGGGGAUAUCGAGCAAAUCUCAGACAAUAAUGCCACCUUGAUGACGCCAGGACCAGCGCUAAUCCGAGCUUUGGCGCCUUUACUAAAUGCUAAUGGCAGGUUAGAGGCGGCCACUCCCAUGGAUGGCGAAGCUUUGGAGCUUGUGGAUUGGUGAAGUGAAAUUUGCAAAGGAUGGAUUAAAAUUACUGGAGUGCAUUUUUCACCUAACCGUUAAACUGUCUGUAGAAACAGGAUCCAAGACAAAACAGUUUUUUUCAAGAGAGUUGGUUUAGAGAAAACUUAUGGGGCCUAACCGUUAAGACUGAAUCUUGAACAAGAUACUGCUAGCAAACAGAGCUAAGCCUAUGCUAUAGGUGUUCAAGAUUGGUUGGUCCUACGAAAUUUAUCGUCCCGUCAAGCAUAAUGAUGGGGAAACAAAAAAAAUAGAUGUUGAAAGCAAUGUAUCAAAGCCGAAUCGAUGUGGUAUUUCUAGCGGCUAUGGCACUGACAAAUUGAAGGCAGUGGGGUUAUGCUACAGUUAGGAUGGGACUUGGAUCUGUGGUGCUUUGUACAGGUUGUGCAAUCUUUAGAUUCAGGUAAUCCAUACAGCAGCAAGUUCGUUUUCUCUUCAGAUUCCUCAUCAUUCUGCAUCCUUCUUUGGUCAUAAUUCUCGCAUAUGCAAGUGAAUAUUCCAAAGGGCACUAGAGAUGAAGAGGAAGCAGUUGAAACAAUCAUGAAGCAAUCGAACCAGAAAUGAUGAGGGAAACAUGGCAUUUCUGAAAGGGGUAAAACUCUCAAGUACAUAGUAACAUGAUGGCAUAGUUUACUUCUGAAUUUCUAGGCUUUACUAAGAAAAACGGUGAUGCCGUGCACACACUGACAAAAAAAAAAGAAUCAAAAUAACAACAAGGAUCCUAACGUAGAAAGCAUCAGUACUCAAUACUGCAUAUGCAGUAAUACUUGCCAAAAAAAGGAUUACCAGGACACCCAACAACCAGUAAAUUGAUGCAGAAAGUAGUAGACAAUAGCUGAGAACCUGCUACGAAUUAAGACGACGAAAUUUCCUACUCGCACAGUGGCACCACAAAGAAGAAAUACAGGCACAAUACUGUAACGGCAUAGGACUAACAGUCUGCCAUCAUUUUCCACACAACACAACCUAGUAUAAAACACGACCCAGGAACCAGGGAGCAAUCCUUAUCACAAGAUCAGCAUCUACCACAGUAUGUAGCACCAGGUGUAUGUGCAAGCCAAGAAACGAAUAGAUCAGGCUACUCCACAUCACAAGCAGGAGUUUUGAGAGCAAACCAUCCCCUUUUCCCUCUUAAACAACCCAAACAUCAACAAACUGAACUAAACGAGCAAGCACAAGAAAGCAGAAAACUAUCUACUAUCUUUUUCCAGAGCACAGCAACUGGCACCACUGCCACUGGAUGGUGGUAAUGAACUGAAACUAGUGAGCUGAGACGGUUGAGGAGAGCAGGGAUGCUUACAGAGGCACGGCUACACCAUCCUUUCCUUGCUCAGCAGUUCCUGCCCUCCCUCCUCUCCUUGGUUGAGUUGAGGCUGGAGGUGGAAGAAGGAAGAGGAGUCCCCCAAAUAAUUGCAGAGGUGAAGAUGACCAAGGGCCUGGCCUCUAGCAGGAGACGAGAGGAGGCAAGGGAUAGGGAGGUGCGAGCUGAAAGAUUCCUUUCCGCGGCCGGCCGGCUCGCUCGGUCACGGCGUGUGUGUGUAUGUAUAGAAGGGGAGGGAGAGGGAGGUGAGGUGGGGGACAAGGCGCAGCGAGAAA
rnacentral:lncRNA from 1 species